rnacentral:rRNA from 1 species
AUUGAACGCUGGCGGCAUGCUUUACACAUGCAAGUCGAACGGUAACAGGUUAAGCUGACGAGUGGCGAACGGGUGAGUAAUGCAUCGGAACGCGCCCGAUCGUGGGGGAUAACACUUCGAAAGAAGUGCUAAUACCGCAUACGAUCUGAGGAUGAAAGCGGGGGACCGUAAGGCAUCGCGCGAUCGGAGCGGCCGAUGUCAGAUUAGGUAGUUGGUGGGGUAAAGGCGCACCAAGCCGACGAUCUGUAGCUGGUCUGAGAGGACGACCAGCCACACUGGGACUGAGACACGGCCCAGACUCCUACGGGAGGCAGCAGUGGGGAAUUUUGGACAAUGGGCGCAAGCCUGAUCCAGCAAUGCCGCGUGCAGGAAGAAGGCCUUCGGGUUGUAAACUGCUUCUGUACGGAGCGAAAAGGCUCCCUCUAAUACAGGGGGCUCAUGACGGUACCGUAAGAAUAAGCACCGGCUAACUACGUGCCAGCCGCCGCGGUAA